rnacentral:rRNA from 1 species
GACGAACGCUGGCGGCAUGCUUAACACAUGCAAGUCGAACGGGAAGUGGUGUUUCCAGUGGCGAACGGGAGAGUAACGCGUAAGAACCUGCCCUUGGGAGGGGAACAACAACUGGAAACGGUUGCUAAUACCCCGUAGGCUGAGGAGCAAAAGGAGGAAUCCGCCCAAGGAGGGGCUCGCGUCUGAUUAGCUAGUUGGUGAGGUAAUAGCUUACUCAGGCGAUGAUCAGUAGCUGGUCUGAGCGGAUGAUCAGCCACGCUGGGACUGAGACACGGCGCAGACUCCGACGGGAAGCAGCGGUGGGGAAUUUACCGCGAUGGGCGAAAGCCUGACGGAGCGAUGCCGCGGGGAGGUGGAAGGCCUACGUGUCGUCAACUUCUGUUCUCGGCGAAGAAACAAUGACGGUAACUGGUGAAUAAGCACCGGCUAACUCUGUG